CUGCUGCUCCUCCUUUGUGUGUGUGUGUGUGUGUGUGUGUGUUCGUUCCUUCCUUCAUGAUGGCCGCUGCUCAGGACUCUCCUCUUUAUCUGGGCUUUGAUUUCAGCACGCAGCAGCUGAAGAUGGUGGCAGUGGAUGGAAACCUGAAGGUGGUUCACCAGAACAAUGUGCAAUUUGACUCCGAACUACCAGAGUUCAGAACUCAGGGCGGAGUUCAUAUUCACACAGACAGACUGACAGUAACCUCACCUGUGCUGAUGUGGGUGAAGGCUCUGGGCCUGCUAUUGGACAAGGCGAAGAGGGCGGGGCUUGACUUCUCCCGUGUCAGUGCAUUGUCUGGCAGUGGCCAGCAACAUGGCAGUGUGUACUGGAGAAGAGGAGCGUCUGAGACUCUGCAGCAGCUCGACCCGGAGCAGAACCUGCACCAGCUGCUACAGGACAGUUUUUCAGUGUCUGACUGUCCUGUGUGGAUGGACUCAAGCAGCAGUCGGCAGUGUCAGGACCUGCAGGCAGCAGCAGGGGGAGCUCUAAGACUGGCAGAGAUCACUGGAUCCAGAGCAUACGAGCGUUUCACAGGAAACCAGAUCGCCAAACUGAGACAGACCCGACCAGACGACUAUCAGGACUCUGAGAGGAUCUCACUGGUCAGCAGCUUUGCAGCCUCUCUCUUCUGCGGUGGUUACGCUGCCAUCGACUACAGUGACGGUUCAGGGAUGAAUCUGUUGGACAUCAGGACCAGAAACUGGUCUGAGAUCUGCCUGGAAGUCACCGCUCCUCAUCUGGACCGACUGCUGGGAGCUCCGCUGCCCUCUACAUCUAUACUGGGUCCCGUGUCCUCCUACUUUGUGCAUCGAUAUGGUUUCUCUGAGAGCUGCAGGGUGGUGGCUUUCACUGGAGACAACCCAGCAUCUCUGGCAGGAAUGAGGCUCCAGCAAGGAGACAUCGCUGUGAGUUUGGGUACCAGUGAUACAGUGUUUCUAUGGAUCCAGCAACCUUGCCCGGCGUUGGAGGGUCACAUCUUCUGUAACCCAGUGGACUGGCAGGCGUUCAUGGCUCUGCUGUGCUUUAAGAAUGGUUCUCUGACGAGGGAACGAAUCAGGAACGAGUGUGCUGGAGGAUCAUGGGAACAUUUUUCAGUAGCCUUGAGAGAAACACCGCUUGGAAACAACGGAAACAUAGGCUUUUAUUUUGACACCUUGGAGAUCACACCUCCUGCAAUUGGAGUUCAUCGCUUCAACCAGGAUGACAACAAGGUGUCCUCACUGAGUCCUCAAGUGGAGGUUCGGGCGCUGGUGGAGGGUCAGUUUCUGUCCAGGAGGCUCCAUGCUGAGAGGCUGGGAUACUCCAUCAUUCCAGGAACCAGAGUGUUGGCAACAGGAGGAGCCUCAUCUAAUAAAGAGAUCCUGCAGGUUUUAUCUGAUGUGUUUAACGCUCCGGUUUACACCAUCGACCUGUCCAACUCUGCCUGCCUGGGGUCGGCCUACAGAGCUCUGCACGGCCUUGUUGCAGAAUCUGGAGUUUCCUUCUUUGAUGUGGUGAAGAGAGCACCGGAACCACAACUGGUCGCCACUCCGCAUCCUACUGCACAGGAGAAUACACUCACACCCAUGGACCACUCUGCAAUGCCACUGCUAAUCAAGACAACAGGUUGAGUGCUGGAAAUCCCUGGAAAUGUAUCCCCUUAUGUGGAAGGCUCCCACUAAACAUAUGGCACUAUAGCAUCUGAUUUGAUGAAGGAAAAUAAUAAGUUUGCACACACAAACACUUUCUGAAAUACAUUGCUGCAUGUCAUUAAAUCACAGUCAAGCACUUCCCAGGCAUUUACAAGGUGCAUUUUCAAGCUUAUCUAAAUCAAGUAAAAUGUGCCUUCAUUAAAUCAGCAGCAUGAAAAUAUACAUUGAACGUGCUUAAAUGUGAUUAUCUUGUGAAGUGAGGACAUAUGUGAAGUGAGACAUACAGCAAUGUCUUGCAGGACAUAGUUGAGCUAUCACUCCCCCCCCCCCCUCAAACAUAUGAUGUAACACUGGAAAAAUGCAAGUGCACACAUAUCAGAGUUCAACCAUUUAAUUGGAAAAAUAAAGAUUAACCAUGGCAUUCCGCACGGCUCUUCCAGCAGGACCAUCAGGCUGCAGUGGUGGUGGUGGCAGGUCAAGGCCUUCUGCGCAGGGAGGAGGUCCAUCGAUGAGAGGUUCCUGUAGUGGCACUCUCCUUGUUUGUGCUAGGUUAUGUAGGACAAUGCAGGCACAUAUGAUGUGACAGGCUUUCUGUGGCUCCACACGGAGAUAGUUCAGGCAGGCAAAUCUGCGUUUUAUCACGCCAUUCAGGCGCUCAAUUGUCCCUCUUGUUGUGGCAUGGAUGUUGUUGUACUUCUGCUGGGAGUCAUUGGUGACGGUAGCAAAAGGGGUCAACAGCCAGGGUAGAAGGGGGUAACCGCUGUCACCCAAGAGGAUGCCAUCUGGGGCAGUCUGUCUGAGCUUCUGGUAGAGGUGGCUCUCCCUCAAAAUACGGGCAUCAUGUACAGACCCAGGCCAUCUCACAACACAGUUCGUGAUAACAAGGUCAGCAUUCCCCACAAGCUGGACGUUGAUGCUGUGCCGGCCCUUCCUGUUCACAUACUCCCAUUCCCUGGCCAUUUCACAUAUUGACCCAGAAGACCGGUAAGGGCAGAUGACACCGAAUGCACCACAUGGCCCACUGUUGCUUUUGUCACCCCCAGUCCAUCCCCAAUCACCUCAAAGAAGGAACCACAUGCAUAAUAACGCAGAGCAAUCAGUACCUGCUCCUCCACAGUCAAGGCAUGGCUCCUCAGAGUGGCACGUUCAAGUGUUUUACGGCAGGUGGCAUCCAUAGUGUUGCAUUUCUGCCAUCCUCUGGUUGGUUGAGAACCAUUCUUGCUCAGAGAACCCUAUUGAAGCACCUCCCACUCAACCUGUGCUACUGUCACACCUGAAGGUGAAACUCGGGUGGAAGAACCUGAAACAGAAGGCCACCAAGGACCACUCAGAGGCGAAGAACCCAUAAACUGGGAACAAGCCCUACAAAGGUGGUGAAUUCAGUGAUGCUGUCCUCGACAUCCUUGGAGGGGAGAGUUCCCAGGCCCUGCAUGGGAUUGUGCCUGCAGGUGUUGGGGAGCCAGUUGACGAGCCACUCGAUCUCUCAUCAGAUUACGUGCUCCUCACACCUGUGGAGGCUGAUCCCUCAGAGGUUGAGCCAUCUGCAGGCACCAGCACUGCCCCACCCCAUGCACCACAGGAGGUGCGUGGGCCAGAGCCAGAGAGAAGGAGGAGGAAGAGGCAUACUGGGACGGAGGAUGAAAAGCUAUGAAAAGCUCCUGAAAAUGGAGACUGAGAGGGCAGUGAGACAGAUUCAACUGGCUGACGAGCAGCUCAAGCUGAUGCUGCUUCAGCAGAAAGAGACAGAAUUAAAAAUUAAACUUCUGGAAAAGCAGCUCAGCUCAGACCUGUGAGCAGUCUUUAGGUUCUGUGGCACUAUUUUGAUUUAUGUUUUGUGUAUAAUUACUUUUUUAGUACUUUGUUUGAAUUGCCAUGUGUUUAUUAUGUUGAUCCCUGUAUUAUUUCUUGCACUCUAUAUAAAAGAAAAUG